rnacentral:rRNA from 1 species
AGCAGCCGCGGUAAUUCCAGCUCCAAUAGCGUAUAUUAAAGUUGUUGCAGUUAAAAAGCUCGUAGUUGAAUUUCGGGGUUAGUAGGUUGGUCGUGCCACUGGUACGUACUGGUCUCACUGACUCCUCCUUCCUGAUGAACUGUAAUGCCAUUAAUUUGGUGUUGCGGGGAAACUGGACUGUUACUUUGAAAAAAUUAGAGUGUUUAAAGCAAGCUAACGCUUGAAUACAUUAGCAUGGAAUAAUGAAAUAGGACGUUCGAUCCUAUUUUGUUGGUUUCUAGGAUUGACGUAAUGAUUAAUAGGGAUAGUUGGGGGCAUUAGUAUUCAAUUGUCAGAGGUGAAAUUCUUGGAUUUAUUGAAGACUAACUACUGCGAAAGCAUUUGCCAAGGAUGUUUUCAUUAAUCAAGAACGAAAGUUAGGGGAUCGAAGACGAUCAGAUACCGUCGUAGUCUUAACCAUAAACUAUGCCGACUAGGAAUCGGAUGAUGUUAAUUUUUAAUGACUCAUUCGGCGCCUUAC